rnacentral:tRNA from 1 species
GGGGCAGUAGUUAAGUUGGUUAUAACGUCCGCCUGUCACGCGGAAGGCCGCGGGUUCGAGUCCCGUCUGCCCCGCCA